GAAUAUUGGACAAUGGGCGCAAGCCUGAUCCAGCCAUGCCGCGUGAGUGAUGAAGGCCCUAGGGGUGUACAGCUCUUUCAACGGUGAAGAUAAUGACGGUCACCGUAGAAGAAGCCCAGGCUAACUUCGUGCCAGCAGCCGCGGUAAUACGAAGGGGGCUAGCGUUGUUCGGAAUUACUGGGCGUAAAGCGCACGUAGGCGGGUAUUUAAGUCAGGGGUGAAAUCCCAGAGCUCAACUCUGGAACUGCCUUUGAUACUGGGUACCUAGAGUAUGGAAGAGGUAAGUGGAAUUCCGAGUGUAGAGGUGAAAUUCGUAGAUAUUCGGAGGAACACCAGUGGCGAAGGCGGCUUACUGGUCCAUUACUGACGCUGAGGUGCGAAAGCGUGGGGAGCAAA
rnacentral:rRNA from 1 species